rnacentral:rRNA from 1 species
GUUAAGCGACUAAGCGUACACGGUGGAUGCCCUGGCAGUCAGAGGCGAUGAAGGACGUGCUAAUCUGCGAUAAGCGUCGGUAAGGUGAUAUGAACCGUUAUAACCGGCGAUUUCCGAAUGGGGAAACCCAGUGUGAUUCGUCACACUAUCAUUAACUGAAUCCAUAGGUUAAUGAGGCGAACCGGGGGAACUGAAACAUCUAAGUACCCCGAGGAAAAGAAAUCAACCGAGAUUCCCCCAG